CGCAAGGCUUUAAUAUUAGUUUCUCUUUUCUCCGGUGAGCAACCGUUACCAAAUAUCAUGUUCUAAAAGAAUUUAAGUUAUUUCCAACUGAAAUCAAUAAAAAAAAUGAUUUCUAUCUCAUAGGGGCAUUUUGGUUAUUUUUUCUCAAAAGUUUCGAAACCAGUUAAAAAUGUAGUAUGCAAGUAUAAAACACAUAAUUCAUAAUCAAAAAUAAAUUUAAACGUCUAAAACUUUCAUUUAAAAUGAAAUUAUAACUAUUUGAAUAUAAUAAAGAUAGAGAAUAAAAUAUUCAAUUUUCUCAUAAAACAAUAUUUUUAGAACACUGCAUAAUUAAUUUUUACAGUGAAAAAGAAAAAUAAAUUCAUAUGUAUUGUAAUACAGAUAACCAAAAUAUAAAAUUAAAUUUACAGUGACACGUGGGCCCACGAACGACCAAAGGUAUCUAAAGAGAUAAACCUACAUAUUUUGAGGAUGCCAGUCCAAUUGUAAUCCUUGAUGAAAUUAGCUAUCUACCGAUUAUCCUGAGCCUGAAAGGUGUGGAAAUGAGGGUGGUGAGAUUAUAUAAUUCCAAUGAGUAAACAAAUAUCAUUUAAAAUAUCUAAAGGUGAGUAAAAGGAGACUAUUAAAACAUUUCAUCAAACUGUAAUUUAUCAUUUUUCAACUUAUUUCAACCAAAUGAAAUCAAUUUAUUUAAAUCAAGUAAUCAGCAUGGCUUAUGAAUUUCUUAAAAAGCUUGGCUCAUGCCAAAAAUUAUUAUCAUACUCAGUUCUCUGGGAUACCUUGGCCGAGGACUAUCCCAACUGAGUCCACCAAGGCUAUUAGAAAGUCAUGUACUCAUAAAUCAUGUUUUUAUUUGAAAACAUAGUCGUUCCUUGGCGUUGGCGUAGUUUUCCCUCAUGUGGUGGUUUGACGUGAAGUGAACUCUAAAAGUUAUACCUCGAGAGUUACCCUACUCGCCUCUCCAACUGAGGUAAAAUAUAACGGGGUUUACGGUACCCCUCUAAUAGGCUAGUCCACGAAAACCCGCCUACUACAGCAAGCUAAACCCACCAUACAAUAAAAUUUUGACAGCAUGACAGAGCUAAUAUUUUACUACCCAGCCUGCAAGGGUAAAAUAAAACAAUGCAUACAAUUCAUAAAACACAGCCCAGCUAGUCAUGCCAACACAAUAACAAUAUAACAUAAGCCAUCAAUUUCCAAUCAUAAAAUUUACAACAUACUAGUGGUUUCCAAUUACUCUAUUUUCAAAAUCGUUAUUUCGUUUCAAGACAAUUUAUAAAAUAUUUUCAUUUAAACUCAUUUUUGUUUAUAAAACCUAAAAUUUACCAUUUGAACUCAUUUUCAUAAAAUUCACCAAAAUCGAAUCAAAACAUACUUUAGAUAAUUAAAAUGAUGAUAAGGUUACUCACUAUUUCGGAAGUCGAAUUUUUAAAGUACUCCGAUUAUCAAUCCUCGGGUACAAUUUUCUUUCCCUUGUCAGAGGACUCACCACCUUGACACAGUACAAAAUCGAGAAACUUACUACAUUGGUACUCAAUUGAAAUUGAACUAAUUUAAACUACUAAUGCAUGAUAGGGAAUGCAAAAAUGCACUGGUAACUAUCUAAACCCGGCAUUGGCCUAAUUCGUCUUAUCACCCU
rnacentral:lncRNA from 1 species